GUAGUAAAUCCUCAUCAUGUAGAGGACCUUGGAUGGGGCUGGUCGCAGUGAUGAAGCUGGACCCACAGAACCUCCACCUGAUGUUCCCAGGGAUGGUGUCAUCGUCUCCUCUGUCGCCCACAGGCGACAGUGAAGGGCUGUUAAAUAAAUCAAGUUAAAAAGUAUAUUUGAGACCCUUGGACCCACUAUUAGGGACAAUAAAGCUGCUGUAGUUAACUAUAGUAUAUAUAUAUAUAUAUAAAUAUGUGUGUCACAGAGUGAUGCAUAUUAGCUUGACUGUUACAAAUUACAUGUGGCUCGUGUCCACUCUUUAAGAAAAUAAUCACAAAUAAACAGAUUUUGUGCACUGAUGACGCGUCUGGCGCAUGGCUGUUCGCCAGAUCUUAUAAUACAUCUAAGGCCUCUCUGCCUUUACGGUGGAUGUAUUUUUUGACCAAUCAGAGGCGGUUGGUAGGCGGAACUGUCUGGCCCAUCGGCGUUUUUCUGUCAGUGGUAGCUGACGUAUGUCGUCAUUGGUCACGACGUGCAUCGCGAUUGGCCACGAUGUUCUGCGAGGAGCUCAGAGAGGCGGAGAAACGAAGGCGGAAAACAGACUUAAACCAAGUUUAAACCACUGCUUCGGUUUGCUAGUGCUGGGAUAAAACGUGAGUGAGGAGGUCUACGUGCUAAGACAAGGCCUGGGGGCUGCUUUUUUUGUCGAACACGAAUGAGACUGGACGCUUAACACGGAAAGGUUUACUGGUUCAGCUGCUGCAGCCUGGAUGGAAACACCAGCUCUCACCUUACAAACCAAACAGGUGUCACCACUUCGACCACCAUCACAGAGAGUCUUCGUACAAUGGGAAGUUCUUUGAGACCAGGACUGAGGCCUCCAGGAUUCAAACUUCAAUUCAACCAUUAAAUCACAGACAGAAGAGACAGACGUGAAGACAUUUCCAGAAGGUCUUCAGCUGCUGUCGUCUUCUCCUCCUGCAGAGACAAGAACACGUGUUAAUCACAGAAACUGAUCAAUUAAUCUAUUUUAUUCCAGUUUUACUGCACAGUACUCAAAGAGGUAAAUGAAAUUUCAAACCUAUGAGACAGUUUUUACCUUUCCUAAUAUUUCUUUACAAAGGACAAUAAAUAAUUUUAGUAAACUUAUGUUAUUAAAUAAUAUAUUAUUUAUCCAUAUUAAUAACUUAUUUUUCCUGACAUACUGUGCUAUGACAUUUUUUCUCCUUUUCUUCCUAUUUCAAACAGUGCAAUAUCAGUGCUCAAGUCCAAUCUAUACAGUCCUGUUAAUACUGUUUAUAAUUUUUACAUACUGUUAUAUAUUGUCUUAUUUUAUGUCGUGUAUCAUAC